AGAGUUUGAUCAUGGCUCAGAUUGAACGCUGGCGGCAGGCUUAACACAUGCAAGUCGAGCGGGGAAAGGUAGCUUGCUACCUUACCUAGCGGCGGACGGGUGAGUAAUGCUUAGGAAUCUGCCUAUUAGUGGGGGACAACAUUUCGAAAGGAAUGCUAAUACCGCAUACGCCCUACGGGGGAAAGCAGGGGACCUUCGGGCCUUGCGCUAAUAGAUGAGCCUAAGUCGGAUUAGCUAGUUGGUGGGGUAAAGGCCUACCAAGGCGACGAUCUGUAGCGGGUCUGAGAGGAUGAUCCGCCACACUGGGACUGAGACACGGCCCAGACUCCUACGGGAGGCAGCAGUGGGGAAUAUUGGACAAUGGGGGGAACCCUGAUCCAGCCAUGCCGCGUGUGUGAAGAAGGCCUUUUGGUUGUAAAGCACUUUAAGCGAGGAGGAGGCUCCCAGUAUUAAUACUACUGGAGAGUGGACGUUACUCGCAGAAUAAGCACCGGCUAACUCUGUGCCAGCAGCCGCGGUAAUACAGAGGGUGCAAGCGUUAAUCGGAUUUACUGGGCGUAAAGCGUGCGUAGGUGGCCAAUUAAGUCAAAUGUGAAAUCCCCGAGCUUAACUUGGGAAUUGCAUUCGAUACUGGUUGGCUAGAGUAUGGGAGAGGAUGGUAGAAUUCCAGUGUAGCGGUGAAAUGCGUAGAGAUCUGGAGGAAUACCGAUGGCGAAAGCAGCCAUCUGGGCCUAAUACUGACACUGAGGUACGAAAGCAUGGGGAGCAAACAGGAUUAGAUACCCUGGUAGUCCAUGCCGUAAACG
rnacentral:rRNA from 1 species